UCUCUCCUCAUCCGUAGCGCUCACAUACACUAAUCUCCCUUGACAGAGAGAGAUACAUAGACAAAGAGAGUGAAAGAGAAAAAGGCACACUUUAAACACUUCAGGAGCCACGUUAUGUUUCUGGCACCCUUACACUAUUCUCUUACUUCUUAGCAACUCUGUGGGACAUUUCCUGUAUGCCUCUAGCAGACUUUCUGGGACUCUAAGGCAGACGUCUUCUCCUCAUCCACCGUUCAGCUUCCAUCCCACCCUGUCUGGAUUUGGGGAGUGAGCAGGCGUGUGGGUAGGCGCGACGGAGGUGGAGAGGGCGCGGGGGAGCUGGAGCACAGGGGACGCAGAUCCAGAGCGCGAGGAGGCUGGGUCGGGGGCCGGAGCUGGGGCAUGGUGGAGGCAUGCUGAACGCGUUGUGGGAGACUGAGGGGCUGCAGGCGGUGGUAAUCGUGGUGCUGGUGUGUGCCUCGCUCAAGCUGCUGCAUCUGCUGGGACUCAUCAACUUCUCAGAGGACAGCGUGGAGGAUGAGUUGGAGCUUUCAGCCGUCCGCCAUCGCCCCGAGGGCCUGGAGCAACUGGAGGCCCUGACCCGCUUCAACCGCAAAGAGCUGCAGAUCCUCUACCGAGGCUUCAAGAAUGAGUGCCCUAGCGGCGUGGUCAAUGAAGACACCUUCAAAGUCAUCUACUCCCAGUUCUUCCCACAGGGAGACGCGUCGAUGUAUGCACAUUUUCUGUUCAACGCGUUUGACACGGAUAAAGAUGGAUCUGUGAGUUUUGAGGACUUUGUUAUGGGCCUCUCUAUCCUCCUCCGAGGCUCAGUCCAGGAGAAGCUCAACUGGGCGUUCAAUCUGUAUGAUAUUAAUAAGGACGGACAUAUUACUAAAGAGGAAAUGCUUGACAUCAUGAAGGCCAUCUAUGACAUGAUGGGGAAAUGCACAUAUCCCCUACUCAAAGACGAUACCCCUCGACAACAUGUGGAGAUAUUUUUUCAGGUGUGUGUUUUUUUUAAAGUGCCAUACAUUGUUGCCAAAAUGUGCAUAUUGCAUUCACCAUCAUCAUCAGCAUGUAUUGUAUGGACCAACAGUCCAAUGCUUGUCAUAUUUAAAUACAAGUUACAUUAAAGAACAAUGGCAUUUGUUAUGUGGAAUGAAAAUAACUAUUUACCAUAUUUUGAAUUAGUUCAUCCAUGUGUACUAUUACAAUAUACAUAUUUUGCAUUGCCUUCCCAACCUCUCUGACGUUCCUGACCAACCUCUCGGAUGUUCCUGACGAACCUCUCGGAUGUUCCUGACGAACCUCUCGGAUGUUCCUGACGAACCUCUCGGAUGUUCCUGACGAACCUCUCGGAUGUUCCUGACGAACCUCUCGGAUGUUCCUGACCAACAGAAGAUGGAUAAAAAUAAGGAUGGUGUUGUAACCAUAGACGAGUUUAUUGACUGCUGCCAAAAUGAUGAGAACAUCAUGAGGUCGAUGCAGCUCUUUGAAAACGUAAUUUAACUCGUGGCUGACUUGGAGGGCUCUGGACUCGACUAUCAACAGACACCAACCAACAACCGGCAUACGCCGCAAUGGACCACACAAAUCAUACAUGUAAUGGUAUGAAACAUUCUGGAAUAACUGUAAAAAGAAAAGAAUUGAUCUUUACAAUCUUUACAAUUUGAGUUUUGUGGUUUGAUUAAGUAGAUUGAACUCUUCAAAUCUCCUGUGUACAAAGACACACAUAUCUUAACAGCUGUGCUGCAGUCACCAUUUACAGUAUCUGCAGUACAGGAAUCCAGCAAACUGGGUCAUCACUGUUUCACACAGACACAAAAUAAUGAACCCCGCCUAUUUCUAAGAUGUAUCUUCUUAAAAUUGUAUUCCAAACUUUAACCCUGAUUUUAUACCAAACCUUAAAUUAAAACCAAAAUGCAAAUGUUUUGUUUUCAUUAAUUUUUACGAUAUUUCAUUUGUGCCUGUGUUAUCUAGUGGAAACCAGCAAAAUGUGUUAUCUUAUGCCACUGCCUUUGAACAGAUGGACAACAAUGAGCCUUGAAGGUGAAAGUUUGUAUGAUGAAUAGUGACAUAACUGUAUGCUGAAAUCAGGCUCAGAAUUCCAGAAUGUUCCUAACCACUGAGGUUUUUCAGCCACCACGGUCCAUCCUUUGCUCUCCCAGCACCCAAGUAAAAUAGACUUAACAUUGUACCAUUUAAAAAAAAAGUGUAUAUACUCUAAGAAUCUAUGUGGAACUUUCAACUUUGUUCAUGCUUACUUGCCAACUAAAAUGAGACGAUGCACUCCACGUUGAAUUCGAUGACGAGUCUGGACGGUGAAAAGUAUCAUUAGAAGCACACAGGUAGCUGUUACUUACAUUGAGUAUGCGAUUAGGAGAAACAAUUAUCUUGCCACAAGAUUAUGCUGCUUUUAAAUGUACUGUAUUUUAUUUGACCGUACAUGUCUGUAUUCCCCAUGUGUCCUGUUUGAAUUGUUUUCAUUCAUGUUUCAAAUAACAAUUUUGCAGGUUACACUGGUAUGUUGGAUUUUAAUUAUAUAGAUAUGAUAUAUGGUAGAUCUGCUAGUCAAUGUACAAAGGGAUAGUCAGGUGGACAGUAUUAAGCAGAAGCUCACUCUUGGGGGGGAAAUGAUGGCCUUUUUGAAUAUGCAAGUUUAUCACUGUCCUUUGCAGAGGGUCACUGGGGUGAAGCUAUACAAGCAAAUUGGAAUCUGUCAUACUUUGGUUUUGAGAGGUAGAUCUGUUGCCCUGUCCAGAAACAACCCCUAUCCCCAACUAUCUAGACAAUAUUUGUAUUUUAUUUUUUUAAACAUUAUUUCACCUUUAUUUAACCAGGUAAACUGGUUGAGAACAAGUUCUCAUUGACAAC